CCUACGGGUGGCAGCAGUGAGGAAUAUUGGUCAAUGGCCGGAAGGCUGAACCAGCCAAGCCGCGUGAAGGACGAAGGUGCCAAGCAUUGUAAACUUCUUUUGUCAAGGGACAAAAUCAGGCUCGAGAGCCUGACCGAGGGUACUUGAAGAAAAAGCAUCGGCUAACUCCGUGCCAGCAGCCGCGGUCAUACGUAGGAUCCGAGCAUUAUCCGGAGUGACUGGGUGUAAAGAGUUGCGUAGGUGGCAUAAUAAGUAGCUAGUGAAAUCUGGUGGCUCAACCAUUCAGACUAUUAGCUAAACUGUUAAGCUCGAGACCGUUAGGGGUAACUGGAAUUUCUAGUGUAGGAGUGAAAUCCGUAGAUAUUAGAAGGAACACCAAUAGCGUAGGCAGGUUGCUGGGACGGUUCUGACACUAAGGCACGAAAGCGUAGGGAGCAAACGGGAUUAGAUACCCGAGUAGUC
rnacentral:rRNA from 1 species